rnacentral:lncRNA from 1 species
UAUAUCUUCAUGGCAUCCGAUGCGAUUGGAUGAAUUUUUUUUUUAACAAAGACAACCAACCUAUAUGGCACACAAUGACCUACACUCGAUAAACAUCAUCAUCCUUUAAUGAUGUAUCAUUUGGUCACAAACAUGUUUAGAAACUAUUCAAUAAAUCUUUCUUUAUCAAUUAUCAUAUAGUUUUAAGGACUUCAUCACAACAUUAGAGUUCAAUC